rnacentral:miRNA from 1 species
AAUCGGACCCAUUUAAACCGGAG